rnacentral:rRNA from 1 species
AGACUGGGAGUAACAGAGGGAAACGUUCUGAUAAUACUGGAUAAGUUAGUAUAUCGCAUGAUAUGCAAAUGAAAGCUACGGCACUAAAGGAGAGCUUUGCGUCCUAUUAGCUAGUUGGUAAGGUAAGAGCUUACCAAGGCGAUGAUAGGUAGCCGGCCUGAGAGGGUGGACGGCCACAAGGGGACUGAGAUACGGCCCUUACUCCUACGGGAGGCAGCAGAC